rnacentral:rRNA from 1 species
CCCGAAACCCGGUGAUCUAGCCAUGGGCAGGUUGAAGGUUGGGUAACACUAACUGGAGGACCGAACCGACUAAUGUUGAAAAAUUAGCGGAUGACUUGUGGCUGGGGGUGAAAGGCCAAUCAAACCGGGAGAUAGCUGGUUCUCCCCGAAAGCUAUUUAGGUAGCGCCUCGUGAAUUCAUCUCCGGGGGUAGAGCACUGUUUCGGCAAGGGGGUCAUCCCGACUUACCAACCCGAUGCAAACUGCGAAUACCGGAGAAUGUUAUCACGGGAGACACACGGCGGGUGCUAACGUCCGUCGUGAAGAGGGAAACAACCCAGACCGCCAGCUAAGGUCCCAAAGUCAUGGUUAAGUGGGAAACGAUGUGGGAAGGCCCAGACAGCCAGGAUGUUGGCUUAGAAGCAGCCAUCAUUUAAAGAAAGCGUAAUAGCUCACUGGUCGAGUCGGCCUGCGCGGAAGAUGUAACGGGGCUAAACCAUG